rnacentral:lncRNA from 1 species
UUCUCAAGGCUCUUCAAAGGACUAAAAGCUAAAAGGAUGGAUUCAUUCGACAAGUCCUAGUCCUGCGCCCUGGUGAGUGCCAGACCCUGCUCCCCACGAGGGGGACCCACGAGCCACCCUCACCACGAUCCCUGCUCUGGUGGAGCCCCCGUGCGGAACACAGGAUCCGAAGAUGGCAGCGGAAGCUCCGCAGCGGCCCCAAAAGCGACUGGGCAGGGAGGGCACAGGCUCCCUCACUGGGUGAAGUCGGCGCAAAGAACGGGAAGAGCCAUCCCGGGAGCC